CUUACAUGUCACGUGACCAUGUGACGUAACAAGGUCCUUCUGGUGCAUGGAGGUUGGACACGAUGGUUAGUGGCCGGUGGUGCUGGUGGAGGUUCCUACAAUACAGGAUCCACUCAGUGGAUAUCUUCUAUAUAAGAUCCUUCUUCUGAUUGACCCAUCAAGAAUGGAUAGGGACAGGAACAAGAUGGCGGAGAGUAUAAUAAAUCUCACCCUAGAGAUCCUCUUCCGGCUUACUGGAGAGGACUACACAGUAGUGAAGAAGACCUCUAGUGAGCGCUGUCAGACCCCUGUGUCUGAAGCACGGGGAAGAACCCUGAGCCCAAUCACGGGGCCUCCACCUCACCCCCUGAUACAUGAGGAAAUCAAUAGAGAGAAGAUCCUAAAGCUCACCAAUAGGAUGAUUGAGCUGCUGACUGAAGAGGUGGGAAUGCUGGGACAUUAUAAAGGAAUUCUAUGAAGGGAUCUGGGCGAUGACUGUAUGAUUGUGUUGUCAGGUUCCUAUAAGGUGUCAGGAUGUCACAAUCCAUUUUUCCAUGGAGGAGUGGGAGUAUUUAGAAGGGCACAAAGAUCUGUACAAGGACGUCAU